rnacentral:tRNA from 1 species
AAAACUGAAGUAACUCCUACAUUUGGCUUCGGCCCAAAUUACGGCUAAAGCCCUGUUUUA